rnacentral:rRNA from 1 species
UACGUAGGGGGCAAGCGUUGUCCGGAUUUAUUGGGCGUAAAGAGCGUGUAGGCGGCCAGAUAGGUCUGUUGUGAAAACUCGAGGCUCAACCUCGAGACGCCGAUGGAAACCAUCUGGCUAGAGUCCGGAAGAGGAGAGUGGAAUUCCUGGUGUAGCGGUGGAAUGCGCAGAUAUCAGGAGGAACACCUAUAGCGAAGGCAGCUCGCUGGGACGACACUGACGCUGAGACGCGAAAAGCGUGGGGGAGCGAACAGG